rnacentral:rRNA from 1 species
CCUUCGGGUGGCAGCAGUCGAGAAUCAUUCACAAUGGGGGAAACCCUGAUGGUGCGACGCCGCGUGGGGGAAUGAAGGUCUUCGGAUUGUAAACCCCUGUCAUGUGGGAGCAAAUUAAAAAGAUAGUACCCCAAGAGGAAGCGACGGCUAACUCUGUUCCAGCAGCCGCGGUACUACAGAGGUCUCAAGCGUUGUUCGGAAUCACUGGGCGUAAAGGGUGCGUAGGCGGUGUCGUAAGUCGGGUGUGAAAGGCGCGGGCUCAACCCGCGGACGGCACAUGAUACUGCGAGACUAGAGUAAUGGAGAGGGAAGCGGAAUUCGCGGUGUAGCAGUGAAAUGCGUAGAUAUCGAGAGGAACACUCGUGGCGAAGGCGGGUUCCUGGACAUUAACUGACGCUGAGGCACGAAGGCCAGGGGAGCGAAAGGGAUUAGAUACCCCAGUAGUC